UUACUUUUUUAUCCCAAUAAAUACUGUGUCGAAAAGGACAGUGAGUGACACUCAUCUCCCCUCUGGCCCCUCUCUCUCUCUCUGGUCUCUAUCUCUCUCCCUUAGCCUCAAGAUCAAGAAAAAUGACUACCUCUAAGCGUCUCGCAGAAAGAAAGAUUGCAAAGUUUGAGAAGAACAUAUCGAGGAAAGGAUCGUCUGCAAACUCAUGGAAGAAGAAACUCACAGCUGAGAACAUUGCUCUUGCGCUCUUUGCCUCCGUGAUUAUUGGAUCAUUCGUGUACCAGAUAAUCAAGCUGGCAAUGAAUGCGGAAUAGAGCAAGGAGAUAGCCAUGGUGUAGAUCAUUAACAAAAGAAGCUUCUGCCAUAGUAAAAGUUUAGACAGUUUUUUCUUUACCGGAUUGAACGUUACCUGUCAGAUUAAAUAAUUGAACUUCUGUUUUAAUGAUCUCUUACCUAUUUUCGUUAA